AGCGAACGCUGGCGGCAGGCCUAACACAUGCAAGUCGAACGAACCUUUCGGGGUUAGUGGCGGACGGGUGAGUAACACGUGGGAACGUGCCUUUAGGUUCGGAAUAACUCAGGGAAACUUGUGCUAAUACCGAAUGUGCCCUUCGGGGGAAAGAUUUAUCGCCUUUAGAGCGGCCCGCGUCUGAUUAGCUAGUUGGUUGAGGUAAUGGCUCACCAAGGCGACGAUCAGUAGCUGGUCUGAGAGGAUGAUCAGCCACAUUGGGACUGAGACACGGCCCAAACUCCUACGGGAGGCAGCAGUGGGGAAUCUUGCGCAAUGGGCGAAAGCCUGACGCAGCCAUGCCGCGUGAAUGAUGAAGGUCUUAGGAUUGUAAAAUUCUUUCACCGGGGACCAUAAUGACGGUACCCGGAGAAGAAGCCCCGGCUAACUUCGUG
rnacentral:rRNA from 1 species